GAUGAACGCUGGCGGCGUGCCUAAUACAUGCAAGUCGAGCGAAUGGAUUAAGAGCUUGCUCUUAUGAAGUUAGCGGCGGACGGGUGAGUAACACGUGGGUAACCUGCCCAUAAGACUGGGAUAACUCCGGGAAACCGGGGCUAAUACCGGAUAACAUUUUGAACCGCAUGGGUCGAAAUUGGAAGGCGGCUUGGGCUGUCACUUAUGGAUGGACCCGCGUCGCAUUAGCUAGUUGGUGAGGUAACGGCUCACCAAGGCAACGAUGCGUAGCCGACCUGAGAGGGUGAUCGGCCACACUGGGACUGAGACAUGGCCCAGACUCCUACGGGAGGCAGCAGUAGGGAAUCUUCCGCAAUGGACGAAAGUCUGACGGAGCAACGCCGCGUGAGUGAUGAAGGCUUUCGGGUCGUAAAACUCUGUUGUUAGGGAAGAACAAGUGCUAGUUGAAUAAGCUGGCACCUUGACGGUACCUAACCAGAAAGCCACGGCUAACUACGUGCCAGCCGCCGCAGUAA
rnacentral:rRNA from 1 species